UACGUAGGGUGCAAGCGUUAAUCGGAAUUACUGGGCGUAAAGCGUGCGCAGGCGGUUAUGUAAGACAGAUGUGAAAUGCCCGGGCUUAACCUGGGAACUGCAUUUGUGACUGCAUGGCUAGAGUGUGUCAGAGGGGGGUAGAAUUCCACGUGUAGCAGUGAAAUGCGUAGAUAUGUGGAGGAACACCGAUGGCGAAGGCAGCCCCCCUGGGAUAACACUGACGCUCAUGCACGAAAGCGUGGGGGAGCAAACAGG
rnacentral:rRNA from 1 species